ensembl:lncRNA
CGGAUGAAGUAUUAGCUUGUCGCAGAAAGUCUAAAAGGGAGCAUCAAACUGUGGAAGACAUUUAUGUGAAUCAUGAAGUGAUCCAAACCAUACAACGUAAAACAACUGGACCUUCACCCCCAGGUUCUGAAGAUGUAAAGAAGAGUUACUGGAGAGCUGCUGUGAUUCUUCUGGGUCUGCUGUGUCUUUUCCUCCUGACUGGACUCAUAGCUGUGGUUUUUCUAUUCACCCAAGGCAAAUCUCAGUGGAAAAUGGAGACAGUGAUACUACACAAGCUUGCUGACAACGUGACCAGCGAGAGAAACCAGUUACAGACCAGUUUCAACAUUCUGGUUAAAGAGAGAGACCAGCUCCAGAAAAGAUUGGAAGACAUGACCACAAGCAGAGACGACCUUCAGAGAAAGCUUCAAUGUAAUUAUAUCUUAAUGCUUGAUGGUAAAUGGCGUGUAUUUGUAUGGCACUUUACUAGUCCCUAAGGACCCCAAAGCGCUUUACACAUUCAGUCAUCCACACAUUCACACACUGGUGAUGGCAAGCUACAUUG